rnacentral:rRNA from 1 species
UAUACCGUGAAACUGCGAAUGGCUCAUUAAAUCAGUUAUUGUUUAUUUGAUGAUACCUUACUACUUGGAUAACCGUGGUAAUUCUAGAGCUAAUACAUGCCAAAAACCCCGACUCACGAAGGGGUGUAUUUAUUAGAUAGCAAACCAAUACCUCUUAGGAGGUUUCUUUGGUGAUUCAUAAUAACUAAACGCAGCGCAUGGCCUAGUGCUGGCGCGAGAUCAUUCAAAUACCUGCCCUAUCAAGUUUCGAUGUGAGGGUAGUGUCCUCACAUGCUUUUGACGGGUAACGGGGAAUUAGGGUUCGACUCCGGAGAGGGAGCCUGAGAAACGGCUACCACAUCCAAGGAAGGCAGCAGGCGCGCAAAUUACCCAAUCCCGACACGGGGAGGUAGUGACAAGAAGUACCGAUACAGGAUCCUUUGGAUCUUGUAAUUGGAAUGAGUACAAUUAAACCCAUGUAUAUUAAAAUUGUUGCAGUUAAAACGCUCGUAGUUGAACCUUGGGCUUGGCUGGCCGGUCCGCCUCACCGCGAGCACUGGUCUGGCCGGGCCUUUCCUCUUGGGGGAACUACAUGCCCUUCAUUGGGUGUGUUGGGGAACCAGGACUUUUACUUUGAAAAAAUUAGAGUGUUCAAAGCAGGCUUUUGCUCGAAUACAUUAGCAUGGGAUAAUAAAAUAGGAUGUGUGGUUCUAUUUUGUUGGUUUCUAGGACCGCCGUAAUGAUUGAUAGGGAUGGUUGGGGGCAUCGGUAUUCAAUUGUCAGAGGUGAAAUUCUUGGAUUUAUUGAAGACCAACUACUGCGAAAGCAUUUGCCAAAGAUGUUUUCAUUAAUCAGGGAACGAAAGUUAGGGGAUCGAAGAUGAUCAGAUACCGUCGUAGUCUUAACCGUAAACUAUGCCGACUAGGGAUCGGGUGGUGUUUUUUUUAAUGACCCACUCGGCACCUUAUGAGAAAUCAAAGUGUUUGGGUUCU